CUCCUACUCCCUCCAUCCCAAAUUACUUGUCUUAGAUUUAUCUAGAUACGGAUGUAUCUAACACUAAAACAUGUCUAGAUACAUCCAUAUAUAGACAAAUCUAAGACAAGUAAUUUAGGACGGAGGGAGUACAUC
rnacentral:pre_miRNA from 1 species